rnacentral:rRNA from 1 species
AGCAGCCGCGGUAAUUCCAGCUCCGAUAGCGUAUAUUAAAGUUGCUGCAGUUAAAAAGCUCGGAGUUGAAUUUCGGGACUAAUAUGUCGGUCGUGCCUCGGUACGUACUGGUAUUUUUGGUUUCUCCCUUCUGACGAACCUUGAUGUCAUUAAUUUGGUGUCUUGGGAAAUCAGGACUGUUACUUUGAAAAAAUUAGAGUGUUUAAAGCAGGCUCACGCUUGAAUACAUUAGCAUGGAAUAAUGAAAUAGGACGUUUGAUUCUAUUUUGUUGGUUUCUAGGAUCGACGUAAUGAUUAAUAGGGAUAGUUGGGGGCAUUAGUAUUCAAUUGUCAGAGGUGAAAUUCUUGGAUUUAUUGAAGACUAACUACUGCGAAAGCAUUUGCCAAGGAUGUUUUCAUUAAUCAAGAACGAAAGUUAGGGGAUCGAAGACGAUCAGAUACCGUCGUAGUCUUAACCAUAAACUAUGCCGACUAGGGAUCGGAUGAUGUUAAUUUUUUAAUGACUCA